AUUGAACGCUGGUGGCAUGCCUUACACAUGCAAGUCGAACGGAUUGAAGGGGCUUGCUCCUUCAGUUAGUGGCGAACGGGUGAGUAAAGCAUCGGAACGUACCCAGUCGUGGGGGAUAACGUAGCGAAAGUUACGCUAAUACCGCAUACGACCUGAGUAUGAAAGCGGGGGAUCGCAAGACCUCGCGCGAUCGGAGCGGCCGAUGUCGGAUUAGCUAGUUGGUGAGGUAAAGGCGCACCAAGGCGACGAUCCGUAGCUGGUCUGAGAGGAUGAUCAGCCACACUGGAACUGAGACACGGUCCAGACUCCUACGGGAGGCAGCGGUGGGGAAUUUUGGACAAUGGGGGAAACCCUGAUCCAGCCAUGCCGCGGGAGUGAAGAAGGCCUUCGGGUUGUAAAGCUCUUUCAGUCGGAAAGAAAAGGCUCCGGAUAAUACCUGGAGUUGAUGACGGUGCCGACAGAAGAAGCACCGGCUAACUACGUGCCAGCAGCCGCCGUAA
rnacentral:rRNA from 1 species